rnacentral:tRNA from 1 species
GGACAAGUAGCUCAGUUGGAAGAGCAUUCGGUUUACAUCCGAAAGGUCACAGGUUCGAGCCCUGUCUUGUCCA